GACAGAGGAUGCAAGCGUUAUCCGGAAUGAUUGGGCGUAAAGCGUCUGUAGGUGGCUUUUUAAGUCUGCCGUCAAAUCCCAGGGCUUUAACCCUGGACAGGCGGUGGAAACGUACCCAAGCUGGAGUACGGUAGGGGCAGAGGGAAUUUCCGGUGGAGCGGGUGAAAGUGCGUAGAGAUCGGAAAGAACACCAACGGCGAAGGCACUCUGCUGGGCCGACACUGACACUGAGAGACGAAAGCUAGGGGAGCAAAUGGG
rnacentral:rRNA from 1 species